AGCGAACGCUGGCGGCAGGCCUAACACAUGCAAGUCGAACGAAGUCUUCGGACUUAGUGGCGGACGGGUGAGUAACACGUGGGAACGUGCCUUUAGGUUCGGAAUAACUCAGGGAAACUUGUGCUAAUACCGAAUGUGCCCUUCGGGGGAAAGAUUUAUCGCCUUUAGAGCGGCCCGCGUCUGAUUAGCUAGUUGGUGAGGUAAAGGCUCACCAAGGCUACGAUCAGUAGCUGGUCUGAGAGGAUGACCAGCCACAUUGGGACUGAGACACGGCCCAAACUCCUACGGGAGGCAGCAGCGGGGAAUCUUGCGCAAUGGGCGAAAGCCUGACGCAGCCAUGCCGCGUGGAUGAUGAAGGUCUUAGGAUUGUAAAAUCCUUUCACCGGUGAAGAUAAUGACUGUAGCCGGAGAAGAAGCCCCGGCUAACUCCGUGCCAGCCGCCGCGGUAAAAC
rnacentral:rRNA from 1 species